CCCAUGUGCUCAGUUGGUAGAGCAUGGCGCUUGCAACGCCAGGGUUGUGGGUUUGAUUCCCACUGGG
rnacentral:tRNA from 1 species